AUACGAAGGGUGCAAGCGUUAAUCGGAAUUACUGGGCGUAAAGCGCGCGUAGGUGGUUUUGUAAGUUGGAGGUGAAAGCCCCGGGCUCAACCUGGGAAUUGCCUCCAAAACUGCAUGACUAGAGUACGGUAGAGGGUAGUGGAAUUUCCUGUGUAGCGGUGAAAUGCGUAGAUAUAGGAAGGAACACCAGUGGCGAAGGCGAUUACCGGGACUGAUACUGACACUGAGGUGCGAAAGCGUGAGGAGCAAACAGGAUUAGAUACCCUGGUAGUCCACGCCGUAAACGAUGUCAACUAGCCGUUGGGAUCCUUGAGAUCUUAGUGGCGCAGCUAACGCAUUAAGUUGACCGCCUGGGGAGUACGGCCGCAAGGUUAAAACUCAAAUGAAUUGACGGGG
rnacentral:rRNA from 1 species